CGGAAUAUUGGGCGUAAGAGCUCGUAGGCGGUUUGUCGCGUCUGCCGUGAAAGUCCGGGGCUCAACCCCGGAUCUGCGGUGGGUACGGGCAGACUAGAGUGAUGUAGGGGAGACUGGAAUUCCUGGUGUAGCGGUGAAAUGCGCAGAUAUCAGGAGGAACACCGAUGGCGAAGGCAGGUCUCUGGGCAUUAACUGACGCUGAGGAGCGAAAGCAUGGGGAGCGAACAGGAUUAGAUACCCUGGUAGUCCAUGCCGUAAACGUUGGGCACUAGGUGUGGGGGACAUUCCACGUUUUCCGCGCCGUAGCUAACGCAUUAAGUGCCCCGCCUGGGGAGUACGGCCGCAAGGCUAAAACUCAAAGGAAUUGACGGGGGCCCGCACAAGCGGCGGAGCAUGCGGAUUAAUUCGAUGCAACGCGAAGAACCUUACCAAGGCUUGACAUGAACCGGUAAUACCUGGAAACAGGUGCCCCGCUUGCGGUCGGUUUACAGGUGGUGCAUGGUUGUCGUCAGCUCGUGUCGUGAGAUGUUGGGUUAAGUCCCGCAACGAGCGCAACCCUCGUUCUAUGUUGCCAGCACGUAAUGGUGGGGACUCAUAGGAGACUGCCGGGGUCAACUCGGAGGAAGGUGAGGACGACGUCAAAUCAUCAUGCCCCUUAUGUCUUGGGCUUCACGCAUGCUACAAUGGCCGGUACAAUGGGUUGCGAUACUGUGAGGUGGAGCUAAUCCCAAAAAGCCGGUCUCAGUUCGGAUUGGGGUCUGCAACUCGACCCCAUGAAGUCGGAGUCGCUAGUAAUCGCAGAUCAGCAACGCUGCGGUGAAUACGUUCCCGGGCCUUGUACACACCGCCCGUCAAGUCACGAAAGUUGGUAACACCCGAAGCCGGUGGCUUAUA
rnacentral:rRNA from 2 species